rnacentral:rRNA from 1 species
CACGUAGGGGGCAAGCGUUGUCCGGAUUUAUUGGGCGUAAAGAGCUCGUAGGCGGUUUCGUAAGUCGGGUGUGAAAACUCUAGGCUCAACCUAGAGACGCCACCCGAUACUGCGAUGACUAGAGUCCGGUAGGGGAGUGUGGAAUUCCUGGUGUAGCGGUGAAAUGCGCAGAUAUCAGGAGGAACACCAACGGCGAAGGCAGCACUCUGGGCCGGAACUGACGCUGAGGAGCGAAAGCGUGGGGAGCAAACAGG